rnacentral:rRNA from 1 species
UACGUAGGGCGCAAGCGUUGUCCGGAAUUAUUGGGCGUAAAGAGCUCGUAGGCGGCUUGUCACGUCGAUUGUGAAAGCCCGAGGCUUAACCUCGGGUCUGCAGUCGAUACGGGCUAGCUAGAGUGUGGUAGGGGGAGAUCGGAAUUCCUGGUGUAGCGGUGAAAUGCGCAGAUAUCAGGAGGAACACCGGUGGCGAAGGCGGAUCUCUGGGCCAUUACUGACGCUGAGGAGCGAAAAGCGUGGGGGAGCGAACAG